UAAGUGAGCAAGGAGCAAUCUAUCUUCAAACCACUCCCGAUAGUCCGAGGAUGGUGUACUAUUUUCAGUUUCUCCAUAGGUAAUCUGCAACUCAAAAGCAAAAAGGUGCUUGCUUCUUCCUUCUUUGGAAUACGGAUAAGAUCAGAAAGGCAAACAAUGCAAUAGCUUCGGUUAGAGCAAAGCCCAAAAUGGCAUAACCAAAUUCUUUAUAUAUAUUAUAUAUUAUUUAUAUAUUUAGAAUAUAUGAAUAUAUAAUAUGAGUAUUCUCUUUUACAAAGAUCUUCCCUUGUUUCUUGAUAGCCAAAAUUCUCAUCCCGGGCCGUGCCCCCCGCCGCGAAUAUAGUGGAAUCAGAAUUGGGUGGAAUUGAGUUCCCAGACAUUCCACCCGAAGAAGACGGUGCGAAUUGGGAAAUUUCGUCCAUAAAGAGAUACCCGACCGACUUGGAAGUAAGAUAAAGAAAAAAGAAGUCUCCCCAAAAUUGGAACAUAUCUUACCCGGAGAUAAGAAUGAAGGAAAAAAACCAUCUUUUCUUCCAACUGCCGAAAUAGUCAUUUCCAUUUUUUGACUUUUAUAAGAACAAGUCAAAUAAUAAUUAUUCCCAGAGUUCGAACCUGCAAUCUUCAGGUUAUGAGCCUGAUGAGUUGACCUAUUCCUCUACCCCGCUUCUUCUCUUUCUUUCACUAUUCCCCGCCUCUGAUUCUAUCUAUGAGCCUAGGUCUCUCGAGCAAAGUAAGUUGAACUGAGUUGAAUCCUUUACUUCGGGUUUGUCGACUCGAUUGGCGAUUGAGCUUUCCCCUUUUUGUUGUAGUUCGGGUUUCGGGGGUGCCAUGCCCUUACAGUAGUCUUUGUGAAUGAGUCAGGCGUGUGCAAGUCUUGCUUUCUGUCUCCCUCUUGCCUUUGAAGUAGACUGAAGAUCGAGUGUGGAUAUUCUGAUCUCUCCGUCUAGCCAAAUAUGCCCUGUGCCAUCCUACUGACAGAGACAAGAAGAAAGACUCACUUGGGAUACUCUAAGGAGGCAAGCUAAGGAUCCUUCAAGCCAGUAAGUAGGUUCCUGAUAUUGAGUCAAGCCCCCGGAAGUUUCAUCGUAUAAGUCGGCAUCUGCCCGACUAAGACCUGGUCUUCAAUGCCCUUUUUUCCUGUAAAUAAAUAAAUCUCCUGCGACAGGUUAGCUAUAGGAGUGCCGGAGUGAACCCGGAAAAGAAGUCACUAAGCUCACUCACUCAAGCUUUGUUAUGUCCGUCUAUGAUCCACAGUUUCUACGCUUAUUAUACGAUAUUAUGAUUUCUCACUUUUGAUUGAAGAUUUGAUUAAACUAACUUUACCCUGCCUCGGAAAAACCAGUAUCAGACCGACUUGAGCAAGUUAGCGACCAUUGGUUCCAAUAUCGGAGAUUCCCAUUCCGUAGGAUCCCUACUUGAUAACAAGAACUUAACUCAUACUAAUGAAUCAAAUCGUCCUUUAUCAAAUUGUUGGUAAUACAACGCUUAGCGAUUUAGAAUUUAUGCGGAGGGAUCCUAUUUAUUUCCCUUCCGCUAGUAGCACAUCAACUAGUUCUUCAACAGCGUCCGACGCGCAAAGUGCUCCACCUGACUUUGAGAAAUUCUUUUCUAAAGUAUGUGAUGAAUACACCAGGUGUGUGCAUGAAGCCGGGAGGGUAUUACCCCCGGAAUGGACCAUGCCUGAACUUGUUCGGACAGUGCUUGGGGAUGACGCUAUUCAUCACGGCUUUCUUACAGAUGCCUACUACAAUGUGAUGUUAUGUGGCACUCGUAGUUGGGGAUGCGAGGAGCUGCUGAAGUUUCUGGAUCUAAUCAACUAUGUCUUCUAGUCUGAGAACUCUUUGAAAGUUGGCGACCGUCAGACGAUUGAGUGUUGGCGACCAAGAAGCUACUCGACCUUAAAGUGAGACUCUAUCUAACAAGGCCGAAGUGAAAGCAGAAAACGACUUCAACGCUAUAAAGCAGAAAUAACAACUUCAUAGCUAUAAAAGCCUUAGCGCUGAAGCAAGGCACCAGCGCGAAACGAGAGCGUCAGCUGAAGGGUGCAAGGCUCGCGCUACGCUCUAGUAGAAGCAAAAGCGGAAGCAAUCCGAAAGGUUUCAGCCAACUGAGACCGUAGAUUCUAUUAGUGAUUAGCAUCCUCUAGCCCUUACUUCCCAUAGGCACCGUUCUAUGAAAGGCACUAUCGACUGCGCUUGUCUUUAUUGAGUACCGCACGAGGCCACUAAAAGGGCAUCCUCUACCUCUGCUCAUCAGUAACUUCUUUCACUCGUUCUGUCGUCUCAUUUCAGCUUUCAACCGCAUUUCCACCACGAUUUUUCUCCAAACGAGAAGCUUUGGCUAGCCGUUCACUCACUCUCGAUGGUCUGCCAUUUAGUUCGUUCGUUGUAGCAGAGCGAAUAAUGUGCCGAUGGAAGGUAGCUGCAUGCAGCAUAAAAGAAAAGAGAUUGACAUCCGACAGCUCCUUGUCCUUUCCAUCCGGAGGUGGCGUUGAUCCAGCUAACGAGCAACUGCUUCGUCUUUACCCACUUAGUGUACUUAGGAUUUGAGGACUUCUUUUCAUCGUCUGUGAAUUGGUUGGGCUGAAGCGAGAGAGAGCUUCUCGGUAGAGGUAGUCAAGCUAAGAGCUAGAAAGUAGCAAUUCGGUUAAAAGCCAGUAGCACGAUAGCUGUUCCUCGGUCUCAGUCCAUUCAGUCAAGCCAGAAGGCAAACCGGUGUAACUCCUAAAGCCCUUGUUGCUUUAGUCAAAGAAGUGCCCUGCAACGGCCAGAGAAAAUUCAUCUUCCAUACCAUCAUGGCACACCAGAAGAAGAAGGGCUGCUAAGCCAGAUAGAAAGCCUUGGAACACCAAGACAGUAGCAAGUGCGGCUACUGGAACACGAUAAGGCGAUGGUACAACCGUGGAAUAAAAGCUGUGCCUCGACAAGAAGCCUCGCAUCUAGCAUGUGGAUUCCAAAGCUGUGACAAAACUGUGGGUUCAUGACCUGCUUUACGCCUAUAGUUUAGAAGUCUCUGUCUAGUUAAAAAACUAAUCCACUCGUGGAGUGCGUUUGGUAUAGUAGUUGUGUGGUAGUUGAGACUCCGACCCUAUCUCUUAAAGCUACGGCAUCCCACCGAUCCUCGCAUUGGCUCUGCUAGUUGGCUUUGCUAUCAAGGCAUAGCAUUCUAUGGACUCUUCCACCACGUCCAGAAAUGGUAUGCCAACACGUUUUCUCCUUAGCCAACCAAAGUUUUCUGAUGGCAAGAACCGCGUUUGCCGUUAAAAGUAAACAGGUUUCCUACGCAGGUAACACCCUAGUCGGAAGACCUAGGUAAUACGAGUAGGAUAUGUAAUACGUCCAUAGGGACGACGUCACACCAGACGUCCUGCUUUAACUUCCCCAGUUCCAACUUAGCAGCAGGAGCACCUUCUCACCCCUUACUCAACAUAGGGCCACUGCUCUAUUCCCGAAUCGUCUGCUAAUCCACUAUUUUUCUUCCGAGAAGAAGGAGUUGGGGAAAGAAGGAACCGGGGCGCCAGAAGGUCUCUCGCUCCUUUCUUCGAUUCUAUAGCCGAUCUUCUUUAAUCCAAAGCUGGUGCAAGCUUCAUCAUAGGUGGAUUCACGGAGAAUAACUUGAGAUAGGAAAGCAAGAAAAGGCUUUUACUUUACUAAAUAAGGCCGGUUCUCCUAAGCAAUUAAAGAGCUAUGACUUUCGCAGGCAAUCAAGACGCGAAUCCCUAGCUAAUGAACGAAAGAGCGCACCUUAUGAGCUGCAAGAGCCGAUUUGUUCACAGACGAUUUCUGAACACUUUCAAAAAAAACUUUUCUAGAUUCCCUGAGUGAGGUUGAAAACCGUUAGCAAGGCUACGAACCCUCUCGAAGGCUUACAGAAGAGUGCCUGCUUCCCAGAUCAAGAGUAUAAAAGAGAACCACGCACAGAAAGAGCCGCUAGAUAAGAUAAUAGGGUGCGGGGAAUGGGAAUGCGCUCUUUGAAAGAAUAGGCUCUGGGACUGUUGACUUUCCUUUCUGUGUUUAUGCGGAAGAGGGGUUCUUCCCCAUCAGGCUUUACGGUUAACGCUUCGAUGGUUGGUGGCUUUCUGGGCUUUGAUGCUUGUCUGUCUGGUCUGUGAUUAAACCAAUCAAUAUAAUAUCUCUCCGGUCUCUCGACUGUCCGGUUCUUAGUAGGUAGGUCAAUCUAUGUCUGUCCUUUCAGGUUCGAUUGUCCUGUCUGUAACCAAUGCCUGGGAAUUUUCUUUGUUGAAUACGUUCGUAUUUGAUUCGAAUCUUAUAUUCCACCCAGGUGAGUGAUUCUUUCUUUUCGACUAGAGGAGUUCUCUUUGUUAGAAAGCCCUCUUGCUGCUUGAAAAGGAGCUAAUUGACACUAUUCAAUGUCUCGAGUAGGCCAAUAGCCUUUCUUACCUUUGCUGGUGCUUGAGUUGGAUUGGAUGAGGAUUGAGGAUUAGCAAUGAUUCUCCAGCCAUUUUUAGGUUUUACCUGGCAAGUCUAACUAGAUCUUUAUCUAAACACAAGCAAAAUCCGCAGUAAGGAAUGUUACUAAUGGAACAUGUAGGAAUAAUAGGUCCUAUUCUUUUUUUGUUGACCCUCAUUUCAAUUGAUUGGAUGCUUGAGCACUCAGAGAUUUUCGUGAGUUCCUCGUAUAUAAUAAAGUAUCUUCCGCCCCCUUCCACAACUAUUUAUAUUUCCUAUCGGGCUCUCCAAUCUAACCCAAGGUCCAGUCAUUAUACAAUGGAUUAAUAAUAGAAAAUUUGUAUUUGUAGUAGAAGGUAAUUGCGAAGUCUUGAUAGCCCCUCUAGCAUUCGAAUAUUUCCUUGAAGCCUAGCCUAAGCCUAAAUAUGCAAUGCAAGGAUAUUUCCAAUUUUUUAGAAAAACCCCCAGACCAGAUGUUUAGAAUCAAACAAGUAUCAACAGUCUGCCUUCUCUGCUUCUGCUGGGGAAUCAUUCGGCGGGUUAUAUCAACAGAAGAAAAGAAGAGAUUUCUAGUUUUUUGUUGAUCAGGCGACACCCGGAUUUGAACUGGGGAAAAAAGGAUUUGCAGUCCUCUGCCUUACCACUCGGCCAUGUCGCCAAAAUGCUACAAAUACAAAAUAGAUGAAAACUUUCCCGGAUUACUGAACUGCUUUUUUAUCGUACUUGCACCUUGAGUUCUGUUUUCCUUAAUUUUUCCUAAAAGUCAAAGAAAUCCUAAUCCUUCUUCCCUUUUGAUUGGGUUUGAUUCAUCCUUUCAAUUUCGAUUGAGUCUAUCUCAAAAUUCAUAAUGUUCAAAACUUUCUCUUACCUUUCUAUUGAAAUCUAUUGAAAAAUCAAAUGUGGAUUUUCAGUCGCAAAAUCCAAAAUUCAACUUUAUGAAAAUAGGAACCAUUAACUAUUGACUUAGAAUGCAUGAACGAUUCUUGGAUUUGAAUCUCCAAUUUUGGUUUUCCUAAUGACAUAAGAAAAUACAACUUGAUAUAUAACUAAUCAGUAUGGAUUUUUUCAAUCAAAAAAUCCUUCUCAAUUAUAAUUAUUAAUAAUAAUUAUAACAACAAUUAUGAGUAUAUGUAAACACCCCAAGAGAAAUUGUUAGACGGAUAUAUAUUAUUUAUAUAUGUUUUAUUAUUUAUAUAUGUUUCCGAUAUAGAAUUAUCAGAUAUAAGAAAAGUAUCAUACUUCAAUUUGAAUUUUGAAUUGAAUCCAAUCCCAUCCAGCAUAGGCUGGUAAAGUUCACUAAUCCGGUAGCGAGGGGAAGAUGAACAAUGAAGCUAUAGCUGCUCACCUUUCCUUCGAAAGCAGUUAAGCCCACCUUACAAUCUUUCUUUCUAUCUCGAAUUCUUGAUCUUUGGUGCCAAUGGAGCAAAGGAAGCGAGGGACGAAGUCCUCUAUCUACCCGGUUGGAUCUAUUGAAUGAGAUCCUGGAGACAGGGCUGGGAGGUAUGAGUCGAUCGGAUGCAGGGAAGCCCAGGCAAUCCGUUCCUAUCAGUCAUUCGUCAGGAAGCGGUAGAGAAAGAAUCAGAUUUUCAAAUCUCAUUGUUGAAGGCGUAGAGAGAAAGCACGAAAAGGAAUGUCUUAGCGUGCCCUUACUCUAAUUCGAAAUCCGUCUCUUUCUUUCUUUUCUAAUUCCUCUCCCUUCAUUCCUCGAUCCGCUUGUAAAUUCUUGGUGUAAUACUCACUCGUAAAUGAUUGGUGUCAGAAUUUCUCACUAAUCAGGUGUGAUCAGUCUCAUCCGUGUAAGAAUUAGGAAUUCCUCUUCCAACUCGUCCCAGAAUGGGCGUUAUGGCAAAGAACAAGAAGAAAACUAAAGGAGAAAUUUGUCCAAUAGUAACAAAGGGUGCCUCCACAGGUUGACAUCCGAUCCAACCUAGUAGUAAGCAAUCCGCCAAAAGCAACCAAAAUAUUCCUUGGUGAAUCGGGCGAAAACUUGAACUACGUACAUACAUACUUUUAAAAAAGGGUAAAGCCAACAGACAUAUAAAAACUGGUGCUAUUGCGGCUACACCUCCCGAUUUGUCAGGUAUACUACGAAGGAUGGCAUGGAUCGGUAGGAAAUACCAUUCUGGCACAAUAUGAGGCGGGGUGGACAUCGGAUUAGCAGGUAUAUAAUUGUCGGGAUGCCCCAAAACAUUAGGAGCAUAAAAAAUCCAAAUGGAAAAAAAGAUAGCAAAAGCUACCCAACCUACUAGAUCCUUUACAUAAAAAUAAGGGUAAGAAGCAAUUUUAUCCAUCUCUGAAUGUACACCCAAUGGAUUAUUGGAUCCAUAUUGAUGCAAUGCGGCCAGAUGAAGAAGACUGGCGCCUACUAAAAUAAAGGGGAGUAAAUGAUGAAGACUAAAAAAACGAUUUAAGGUGGCAUUGUCCACGGAGAACCCACCCCAAAGCCAAGUCACUAUGGUAUCUCCUACUACAGGUAUGGCGCUAGCUAAGCUUGUAAUUACUGUAGCUCCCCAAAAGCUCAUCUGACCCCAAGGUAGUACAUAUCCUAUAAAAGCUGUCACAAUCAUUAAUAGGAAGAUUACAACUCCGAGACACCGAACAAAUUCCCUAGGACUGCUAUAACUGGCAUGAUAUAGACCACGAAAAAUAUGAAGGUGAACCACAAUGAAAAACAUACUUGCCCCAUUAGCAUGCAUAUAACGGAGCAACCAGCCCCCUUCAACAUCUCUCAUAAUGUGUUCUACGCUGUUGAAAGCUAGAUCCACAUGAGGUGUGUAAUGCAUAGCUAAAAAAACGCCAGUCACUAUCUGAAUGACUAAACAAAUACCAGCUAACGAACCGAACCCCCACCAAUAACUAAGAUUGCUCGGGGUUGGAUAAUCUAUCAAAUGCUGAUUAAGUGUGGAGGAUAUAGGUUGUUUAAGAAGAGAGAGUCGUUGGUUCCUUAUAGUCAUUUAUUUAUUUCUCUUUUCUAUCGUGACAACUCUUGUUCCCCCACCUUUUAGCGUUCUGGGGCCCUACUAUGUAUUAAAAUGUGAGUACCCUUUCUUCCACCUCCGAAGGAUGGAGGGGGUAUACAGCGAAAAAAGCGUCGAAGGGGUCGGAUCACCCUGGGUUACUGAAGAGUCGUCCGACUUCUCGGUGACCGAAUAAGAGAGGUUUUUACCGCUUUCUCUUCUCUCCAGCACUCUCGGACUGAUCAUCUUGCUGCAACAAAGCAAGCUUAGGAAUGAAUCUAAUGGAAAUUUAGGUCUCUGUCCGCUUUUUAGAUUAUUCUUUCCUCCUCGGCGAAAGAGGGCAAAAAAGGUGUGUGGGAGAAAGAAUUCUAAAAGGAGAGAAGAUUUCGUCCACCAAGCGGGACAGAGUGCGACCCCUAAGCAAUUGGGGGUUCUCGCUCAUCUCUUGGGGGUCCAUCUCAUCUGAAAACUUUUCCUCUUCCAUUAGCAUAGCUAAAUUUGAAUAGGAUGAAUCAGCCUCAGGAAAAGUAAGCCCCCUUUCCUUGAUUGAAUUUGGCUUCGCUGCGCCCUGAAUCAAUCAAAAAGCUUAUUGAUUUGAUUCAUCCCAUUUCAUUUAUUUGGGCGAGAGGGAGGCUGUGAGUCACCUGGGCUACGGAUUUUUCCGUUGGUUGAUUCUCGAAAUUGAAAAAAUCAAAAUCGGGUCCAGACCCACAAAUGAAUAGGAAGCGAGGCGAGGGUCCUUCAUUAAAAGGGGAAAAGAGGGGUGGGGCUUUGUUCUGGGGGGCCGCCUUGCGCAGCUUUAGAAAGGAGAGAAUGACUUUAUGAAAUUCUCUCCAACCUUUUCUAUCUAUCUUUAGAAGUAGGGCGAGAGAAAGUCAAUAUGAUAUUUGCGUUGGUUUUUCCAACGAAACGUUGCACUUUUCUUCUUUCUCAUUCGGAAGGCUCAGUCCCACACCCUGACUUCAAUGAUGGGAACAACCUCCGCACUCCGGCGCUCCACUGAACAACAGUUCUCCGCCUUACUAUAUUUAGAAUAGUGGUCGAUCCUUCGGGAGUUACAUUCGUAACUUAAUGUAAUGUUAUGUUCACGCGGUGAUAUUCUAUCUUUCCAAGAGUACUACCCUGUACGUAGUCUAUGUCUGGGGAGCAUACUUGACAGGAGAUAGACACAGGCGGUAGAGGGGUCCCCCACUUCGAUUCCCGCCCCGUUAGCAUCUACGAUCCUAGAUAAGGGAUUAGUCCGUUAGGUCUUUUCGAUCCGGAGCCGGCUGGUAAUGGACCUACUUACCUUGCUUGUAGACCUGCUGCGGAGCUAACCCUUGUUCUAUUGGUUUGGUGGUUGCUACCAAGACGAUUUCUUUAUGCCCAUCAAAGGACCUCGAGAUGCUAAUCCACGAAAAAGGAUACGAGAAAUUUGGAAGAACUCAUAUACGGAACGAGGGCGACCCGUGUAAAUACAUCGGUUUCUGACUCGUGCAAAGGCACUAUUUCUUGGCAACUUGGACAACAACUAACGAUGUUUGUCCCGCAUAUCACUAGGAAGAUCGGGAUCUUUACAAAGGGCUUUAUAAAGCUUUCGUCUCAAUUCAUAUUUAGCCUAGCCGCGAGCAAUCUGCGUUUGUGAUCUCGUAUAUUUCGCUUCUCCGACAUCUUACUGAGUUUCCCCCUCAUCUUUUUGCAAAAAGCCGCUCCACGGUGGUAAAGUCUCAUCUUGUGUGUUGGCCGAAGUUACAAUAGUAACAUUGAACCCUCGAAUAUGUUCGAAGAUCUCGAAAUGAUCUUCCAGUUCGGGGGAGAAUUCGCAAAAUUCCGUUUCCAUCGAGAAUUGAAUUGACCUUUCCCUUAUUUCGAGCGGAGAAUCUAACAGAGACAUUACUGUGGAUAUUCUGACCAAAAAAUGUGACAUUCCAUGCCCUCGGAGAGUGCUUUGUCGUGCUAGGUCACUGACAUAUCCUUUUUUGUCUUUAUUUGACCCCAAGAAUGGAUUGGAUCGAAACGACUUUCCUGUUGAAGCCCUUUGUGUCUGUAUUAAUUUCUGACCGCACGGAAUCUCCAUAGCCAAUUUUCCAUUUUUGAUAGAAGGUGCUGUCUUUGGUACUACUAUUAUUUUACACGAUCCAGGAACUUCCAUAACGUUGGCGUGAUUCGGUUUGAGCAACGGAUCCUGACGUGAUACAUCCUCGUAAUGAAAAUAGAGUGGAAACAUGAGUUGAUCCAUAAUGAGUAUUAGAUUGAAGUUCUCUUAAAGAAGACCGCCAACUCCUAUCCCGAAGAUACAAAGCGCCCGGUCCUCUUCUCUUGUGUCGAAGUGCAGUGUAGUGUGGUGAGGUUUUGCCUCACAGAAAGAGUGGGAAAUUGGGAUCAAAAAAGGCAGAAUUUACGCAAUUUCUUUUCUGACGAAAGAGAUCAUAGUCCUUUAUGGCGCUUUCAACCCGCCGAAAUGGAAGGCUUUGCACUUGUGGAACGUAAAUUCAAGGGAUACUCAUCGAGUGGACCCAAAUAGAAAGCUCCUUCUUUGCUUUUCUUCUCUGGAGUCAAUUCGAUGAACACAAGCCGAAUCGUCCUUAACGGUGACCGAUAGCGAAGUAGUACCAAUUGCCGUGUGCUCUAAAGCUAGUCAGGAGCUUUUACUCUUGAUACGAGUCGAGUCGUCUCAACUGUUGAGUUCUCGUAACUAGCCAAAAAGGGCACUACUACUUACGUCAUUUCUUGUGGGAAGAGGCGAACGAAAGGGAAGGCAUCCGAAGCGGCCUUUUCUUCUUAUCUUGAGGUUGGGUGCACCGAUUCUCCCACAGGCUAUCUAU
rnacentral:lncRNA from 1 species